rnacentral:lncRNA from 1 species
CUUUGUUCUCUGGGCCAUCUAGGCUUCCAGAGAUGGUUUUUAAACUUCUAACAACAACCCUUGAAGGUGGAGUGACAAUAUUUCCUAGCAAAAGAUGCAUCCAUCCCUGUGAAGUGGGGGCUGGGCUGUUCCCCGCUUCACCCCACGUGCAAAGAGAUGAGAUUUAUAAAUGAUACAGCUCAUUGUGUUUUUUCUACAAGAUUAAUUUUAUUGUCCCAUUAUCGGCUCCUUCUGAAUCCAUUCAGGGGUGGAAUAUGUCUUAGCUUUCAUCUCUGGAGCUUUCAUUAAUAAUUAGGUCACCUUUUAGCCAGGAGCCCUGGGUGGCUCAGGCUGGGGAAGAUUCCAGCUGGAAUGGAAACCCUCAGCAUGCUAUAGUGCUCUCGCUGCUCUGGUCCGGGGAAGGGAGCUGCCUCCAACAGCUGAUGUCAGGAGUCAGGCAACUAUGACCCCAUUUUACAAGAGAGGGGCCAAGGGUCACCUCUGCAGGCUGGUAGAGCGGGAAGUUGUGUAACACAGAUUUGAGCCAAGUACAGCUUGCCCCAAAGCCAGUGCUGUCCCCACCCUGGCACAUGAGCAACUGUCCCUCCAGGGUUGAGAGAGUUGGAGGAUAGAGUUUCACUCUCCUGAGAUCUAAAAGAUAAACCAAUUGGAAAUGCUGACAUUGAUUAAUUCUUCUUCUUCUUUCUUUUUUUUUUUUUGCUGAGGAAGAUUUGCCUGAGCUAACAUCUGUGCCAAUCUUCCUCUAUUUUGUACGUGGGUCACCAUCACACCAUGGCUGACAAGUGGUAUAGGUCUGCGCCCAGGAUCCGAACCUGUGAACCCAGGCUGCUGAAGCAGAGCGCGCUGAGGAACUUUAACGGCUAAGCCAUGGGGCCGGCCCUAGUUCUCCAUUUUUUUGAUGAAGUAAUGGAAGUGCUGGGGCCAGAUGUUGAAUGAUUGGCCAUCAUUUGGGACCCAAACAACACUUCUUGGACAUUUAGGAUGUUUAUGAUUUUUCACAGUGGGCUGCUCUUCCUGCCAACUCAAUUCUCACAUAAAACCCUAGGAGGAGAAGGUGGGAUGGAGCAGCCGCCGUGGGAACAGUCUGGCGGCUCCCCAAAAACUUAAGCAGGGUUAUCAUCAGAGCUGGGCAAGCCCGUUCUGGAGACACAGUCAAUUCCGCUUCUGUGUAUAUACUUGAAAGAAUGGGAAACAGGACUCGAACAGGCAUGUGUGCAUGCAUAUCCACAGCAGCACUGUUCCCAACGGCCGGGAGGUGGGGAC